rnacentral:rRNA from 1 species
UACGAAGGGGGCUAGCGUUGCUCGGAAUCACUGGGCGUAAAGCGCACGUAGGCGGCUUUUUAAGUCAGGGGUGAAAUCCUGGAGCUCAACUCCAGAACUGCCCUUUGAUACUGAGAAGCUUGAGUCCGGGAGAGGUGAGUGGAACUGCGAGUGUAGAGGUGAAAUUCGUAGAUAUUCGCAAGAACACCAGUGGCGAAGGCGGCUCACUGGCCGGUACUGACGCUGAGGUGCGAAGCGUGGGGAGCA